rnacentral:lncRNA from 1 species
CGAAACCUCAGAGUUCCUAAUCAGAUUCAUUUCCUCCGCACCACAACAGGAACUCGGCUUGUUGCUUUUUAGCACUCAGUAAUAUUCCAUUUUAUAGAUGUACCACAGUUUUUCCAUUUGCCUAUUGAAGAACAUCUUAGCUGCUUUGAGGUUUUAGGAAUCAUGAGUAAAGUUGCUAUAAACAUCCAAGUGCCGAUUCCUGUGUUUUCAGCUUCUUUGGGUAAAAGUCAAAGUGAUUUCUGAAUUAUAUGGUAAGAAGUUUAGGUUGNNNNNNNNNNNNNNNNNNNNNNNNNGGGCACACCUGCAGUAUAUGGAGAUUCCCAGGCUAGGGAUCGAAUAGGAGCUGCAGCUGCCGGCCUAUACCACAGCCAUAGCAACUCAGGAUCCAGGCUGAGUCUGUGACCUAUACCACAGCUCAUGGCAACACCAGAUCCCUGACCCACUGAUCGAGGGAAGGGAUCAAACUCACAUCCUCAUGGAUGCUAGUUGGAUUCAUUUCCACUGCACCAAAAUGGGAACUCCUAACUAUAUUUUCUUAAAGCAGUUUUCUGAUUCCUUCUUUGCCGUUUUCUAAUCUUUGGGGGGGUAGCAUAGUUCAGUUCGUGCAAGAUCAUAUCUGGACCAGACUGCUUGAAUCCAAACCCAGCUCUACUGCAUUAUGUGCUCUGUGACCUUCGUUUCCCUGAGCCAUGACAGGAGCUCCAGAAGUUUAGUUUUGUAAGAAAAUGUGAAACUGUCUUCCAAAGUGGCCAUAUACUACUUUCAUCCCCACUAGCAAAGUGGAUGCUCUGCAUCCUUGUCAGCAUUUGGUGUUUUCAGUGUUCUGGGUUUCUGCCAUUCUAAUAGGUGAAUAGUGGUCUCUCGUUGUUUUAAUUUGCUUUUCUCUGUUGACAUAUGUUGUGGAGGAUCUUUUCACAUGCUUAUCUGCCAUCUGCAUAUUUUUUUGGUUUGAUUUUGAUUUCAAAGGACGUGAUGAUAAACCAGUCUCAGUCCGGGCUUCUCUUGGUUCGCUCCAGCCUUGGAUGGGCUUUUCCCCUCACAUCCCAAGAUGACUACCGGAAGUUUCAGAAAUGAUGCUGAGGUUGCCAUCCUGACAUCAUGAGAUGACAAGCACGAACAAAAAUUACGCAUGAAAGCUGGAAAAACAGAAGGAGCAUAAGACUAAAUAAAUCAAUUGUGGCAUUGCUGUGUUAGUAAGAAGAAUAAAUUCCUUCCUUGUUUCAGUCAUUCUAUGGCAGGUUUUUUGUUGUUGUUGUUGUUAAUUAUAACCAAGUACAAUCUCAACAGAUACAGACUUUCUCUGUUAAUGGACCAAGCCCACUAUGGUAAAUCUCUGAUCUGUCUUCCUGACCUUCAGGACCAGGCUCAGUUUUAGAAUGCAUUUUUCUUUUUAUGGCCACACCU